rnacentral:lncRNA from 1 species
GAAAAUUACCUGUUUUUUCCAACAAGUGGUAUCAAGAGCCGAAGGUUCGCCCUUGGGUUGUUUUAAAUUAUUUGUAAUAUUGAAUAUUAUAUUUUGAGUUUGUAAUGGCAAAUCAAGAAGAAGAAGCGAAGGAUGUAUCCAGAGUGUCGGGCUCCUCGUCAUCAUGGUCGAGGUUCCCGGUGUCCACUUUGAAAUUGGCGGUGGAAAUAUUUG